GAUGGUAGAGGAAUCACUCGUGGAAAAAUUCCUGUAGUAGUUGGUGUUAGAGGUGCACAUUUUUUAGCUUGAAGUCAGCUGACAAGUAUACUUGCCUAAAGGAUGUCCCUCUAACAAAGGAAUCACCUUCAGAGGUGGUCAGGUAUCCAAGGAGAGAACUUCAUCAAAAUAUAUGAGUUUUUAUCAAACACCUGCUCUGUGUUAUAUAAGAGCUCAUUGAAUUUCGUGUGUAUGUUUGUAUUUGUUUGUGUGUCUGUCGACCUGCCAGCACUUUCAUUUGAUAUCUGAAGAUGGAAAUAAUUCCAAAAUGUGUCAAUUUUGAUCAAUAAAAUCAUUCUUCACAUGGUGUAUUAUGACUUUUUAUGUAGGGUGACCAGACAUCCGGAUUAAUCCAGACAUGUCCUCCUUUUUAGCUCUUUGUCUGAGGUCCGGGCGGAUUUUUACAGUGUCCGGCUUUUUCAAGUUGAGCGUAAUACAGUUAAA